UACGGAGGGUGCAAGCGUUAUCCGGAUUCACUGGGUUUAAAGGGUGCGUAGGCGGGCGAGUAAGUCAGGGGUGAAAUCCUGGAGCUCAACUCCAGAACUGCCCUUGAUACUGGCGAUCUCGAGUUCGGGAGAGGUGAGUGGAACUGCGAGUGUAGAGGUGAAAUUCGUAGAUAUUCGCAAGAACACCAGUGGCGAAGGCGGCUCACUGGCCCGAUACUGACGCUGAGGUGCGAAAGCGUGGGGAGCAAACAGGG
rnacentral:rRNA from 1 species